rnacentral:rRNA from 1 species
CCCGCACAAGCGGAGGAACAUGUGGUUAAUUCGAUGAUACGCGAGGAACCUUACCUGGGCUUAAAUGUAGAGUGCAUUUUUUAGAGAUAGAAAUUCCCUUCGGGGCUUUCUGCAAGGUGCUGCAUGGUUGUCGUCAGCUCGUGCCGUGAGGUGUCGGGUUAAGUCCCAUAACGAGCGCAACCCUUAUCGUUAGUUGCCAUCUGGUAAUGCAGGGGACUCUAGCGAAACUGCCACCGUAAGGUGAGAGGAAGUGGGGAUGACGUCAAAUCAGCACGGCCCUUAUGUCCAGGGCUACACACGUGUUACAAUGGUCGGUACAGAGGGCAGCUACCUGGUGACAGGAUGCUAAUCUCGAAAACCGGUCUCAGUUCGGAUUGAAGUCUGCAACUCGACUUCAUGAAGUCGGAAUCGCUAGUAAUCGCGGAUCAGCAUGCCGCGGUGAAUACGUUCCCGGGCCUU